UUCAGGUAACACAUAAAUACCUUAUGGAAGUAAACUUCUUAGGCUGGUGUCUAAGUUGUUCCUUCCAGCAUCUCUCUAGACCAAAUACUGCAUUGCCCUUGGCCCAUUUUUAUGCUAUGGUGACUCCAGCAAGUCGGACGAAUUUGAUACAGGUCAGGCACCAUUUCUAAUCGAUCUGUGUGUUGAGGACACAGGGAGAUAGAAUCGUCACCUCUACAAGAAGAGUUUUUGAGCAAUUUUUCCACUAGUUUUCGGUGGAUCAGAUUAUCAUCCAAAGCUAAAACACGUGUUUGAUCUGCGUAGUCUCCCAUCACCUUCUUCAUUGAGGAACAAGACCCAACAGCACUUUCCAUCUUUUUAUAAAAUCAUAAGCAUUUAAGAGCUAGCUAGCGCCAUUAAUCCUCCAAGUUAUUGCAUUUUCCAAUAUUCCUAGUUUAUAUGGCACAAGACUAAAUAAAAUAGCUUCUCUGACAAAGCCUACAAUAAAAGAAAACCAUCAAACGGACUCACAGGAGAUGCAUAACGUAUAAUGAGUGCGAAUUUUCUUGAUUUGAUUGAAAUGCCUCAUAGAUUGAAGCACAGAAUUAUACUGUAAACGCCAAGACAGGGGCAUGAGCAAAAUUAUACUGUAAACACCAAGACAUUGGAGCACAAAGACAG
rnacentral:misc_RNA from 1 species